GCUGAGUUCCUCACAGUCUGCACCACAUGUCCAUGAACCUCUUUGAAGACUUCCGCUACAGGAGGUGCUUGUGAUGCUGUAGGUAGAUAAAUAGUGUUCAAGCAAGUUCCUGUCUACAGUUUCCUCCUCUCAGGCACACAAACUGCUACUUUAGUAGAAAUAUCAAACCAAAGGAUUCAACACACCAAGGCUGCUCAUAUAAAUCAGUAAUAUCAAAUUCUCAAAGGCCACCUUGCCGGGCCUGCAGGCAACACAUAUCUUCUAUCAUGGUUGAUAACAUCGUCUCAAAGCCUCUCGGGUUAGUUUUGAUCUUCAUAGCUCACAUGGUAUUCAACGGCACCAGCCGAGGGGAGGUCACAGGGAUCCUUGGCAACGACACCACCCUUGAAUUCAAAUUUAACAUCAGUGUCACAGAAUAUUUUGCAGUUUAUACAACAAACCACACAAAGAUUGCUGAGUAUUCAAAGGGCAAAAUUUCCUCAAGCGGAGGCGAUUUUGACGUCAACCCUAAAAAUACGUCUGUGUUUUUCACCAUUACAAACCUCAAACUAAAUCACAGUAGAAUUUACUGGGUCAGUUUGUUCACGGACUCAGGACUCAUAAUAGAAAGUAAAAAGGUGCAGCUGAUUGUCAGAGAGGAGAACAGAAGCAGCACAGUUACUCCAAAGCCGAAUGACACCACAAAAAAUAAAGACAGUGGAAGUCCCAGUCACAUCGGCGUCACUGUCCUUGUGGUUUCACCUGUCGUGCUGUUGGCUGCAGCACUUCCCUUGUUGAUCUGGUGUCUCGUGAAAAGCAACGACAAACAACAACCACCGUCACAACAAAGCUCCAAUCCCACAGUACAAGAAACAGUUGAAGCGUCCUAUAAUGUGCCUGCACCCCCACUGGUCUACAGUGUCCUGGACUUUCCCAAAAGAUCUUCUGCAGUUCUGGAGAUUAAUCCAGGUGAUACAGAGUACGCUGCAGUCAACUAUCUCCCAGAAAAGAGACAAGUGUGACAUGCAAUUGAAUGUAAACCAGCUGUUCUCUCUUGGUUUGGGUAAAGAUAUCCAAGAUGACUUAUUACAUUUGGAUUCCAGUGCUGAACUUGGCUGUAGUGACACCCAUAACAAGUUUAUUAAUAUUCUUAUCUUCAGCAUGGAUGUCUGGAAUCUUUAAAAGCUCCCUUUGGGUUUCAGGUUGAGUCAUUUUUUAUCUUUUCUGUCAAUGACUAUGUUUUUCAUCAUUGCGUUCAUCAGAGCACAAUGUUUCCACUGUUAAAAUAAACAGAACUAAGAACCAUUAGUAAAAUGAAACAGUCACAGGAAACAGUGUAUUUAUAGUUUAGAGAUCUCAGCUUAACAGUACUGUAUGUUCAAAGGUCACACAAAACAAGUGACUUUCCAUUUACUGUAUAGUGUGACAGUUUGACACUUUCGAACCGAUUUUACACAUACAACAACUAUCUCACACUAUCUCACUGCCAUUUUCCACUGCAUGUUCUCUGAAGUUCUCUUUUGGCAGGUGCCUACUGAUGUUUUGAUAGAUUUGUCACACAAAAUUUUGAUUUAUGUUCUCAAUGCCAGAUAUUGAUGUCAUUAAUGUGAUGAUAUCCAUGUAUUCUAUAGAAAAAACUCACCCAACAUAUCUGUUCAUCAGUGGCAGAUAAGCAAGUUGAAUAUUCACCCCGGAUGUUGAUUGUUACUCAGGAUGGGGAAAAAAACUGCCAACCUGGUAAAUUAUGGUGUGUGUGUUUUUAAACUGGUGACCACAAUGGCACACAACCAAACGCAGACUGAAGUUUCCUCUCUGCUCUAAAACCAAAAUGAAUGAAUGAAAUAGCAAAAGUGCAUUUUGAAUGUACCAUGUUACUAAGGCCAACUACACA